CAAAGGCAUGGUCCUGACCUUAUUAUCAGCUCUUACCCGACUUACACAUGCAAGUCUCCGCAAUCCCGUGAGUAUGCCCUCAAUCCCCUGCCCGGGGACGAGGAGCGGGCAUCAGGCACAAAUUUUAGCCCAAGACGCCUGGCCAAGCCACACCCCCAAGGGAAUUCAGCAGUGAUAAACAUUAAGCCAUAAGUGAAAACUUGACUCAGUCAAGGUAAAGAGGGCCGGUAAAACUCGUGCCAGCCACCGCGGUUAAACGAGAGGCCCUAGUUGAUAAAACCACGGCGUAAAGGGUGGUUAAGGAAAGCAAACAAAUUAAAGCCAAAUGGCCCUUUGGCCGUCAUACGCUUCUAGGUGUCCGAAGCCCAAUUAUACGAAAGUAGCUUUAUAAAGCCCACC
rnacentral:rRNA from 1 species